ACCAUAUACUUGUGUCUUUUAAUAACGGCACAAUACAAAUACCUUAAAAUCAAAUUUGCGAUCAUACUUAAAGAGAAACGUGAAAUAACGAAGGAUCUUUACAAAGAUAUUAUUUGGCAAAACGAAAAUGUUGAAACGAUCAGACAGGAAAUGAAGUUGUUAACCCGCCAUUUUGAAACUGUAAUCGAAGCUCGUCUAUAGCAGAUGAUGUGGUAUACGAAAAGUGGUAUUUUCACGACGUACGCUUUCAACGUGUAAUUCUUAUGAUAAGCUUGGCUAACGAAUUAAAAUGUAAAAUAUCUAAUUUUCAAAAUAUUGAUUUAACGUUACCAUCUUUUAUGUCGAUUCUAAAUCAAGCAUAUUCGGUAUGUUUAUUAUUUUUGAAAGCAGGACAAGAUUAAAUUAAAUUAUUAUAAUACUAAUCUUGUAAUACUAAUCAAUAGUAUAUGUGAUACUUAUGAUUAAAAGUUUCUCA
rnacentral:misc_RNA from 1 species